rnacentral:rRNA from 1 species
GCCUUGAUGUGUAGGAUAGGUGGGAGGCUUUGAAGCGUGGACGCCAGUCUGCGUGGAGCCGACCUUGAAAUACCACCCUUUAAUGUUUGAUGUUCUAACGUGGAUCCGUAAUCCGGGUUGCGGACAGUGUCUGGUGGGUAGUUUGACUGGGGCGGUCUCCUCCUAAAGAGUAACGGAGGAGCACGAAGGUUGGCUAAUCCUGGUCGGACAUCAGGAGGUUAGUGCAAUGGCAUAAGCCAGCUUGACUGCGAGCGUGACGGCGCGAGCAGGUGCGAAAGCAGGUCAUAGUGAUCCGGUGGUUCUGAAUGGAAGGGCCAUCGCUCAACGGAUAAAAGGUACUCCGGGGAUAACAGGCUGAUACCGCCCAAGAGUUCAUAUCGACGGCGGUGUUUGGCACCUCGAUGUCGGCUCAUCACAUCCUGGGGCUGAAGUAGGUCCCAAGGGUAUGGCUGUUCGCCAUUUAAAGUGGUACGCGAGCUGGGUUUAGAACGUCGUGAGACAGUUCGGUCCCUAUCUGCCGUGGGCGCUGGAGAACUGAGGGGGGCUGCUCCUAGUACGAGAGGACCGGAGUGGACGCAUCACUGGUGUUCGGGUUGUCAUGCCAAUGGCACUGCCCGGUAGCUAAAUGCGGAAGAGAUAAGUGCUGAAAGCAUCUAAGCACGAAACUUGCCCCGAGAUGAGUUCUCCCUGAGACUUAGAGUCUCCUGAAGGAACGUUGAAGACGACGACGUUGAUAGGCCGGGUGUGUAAGCGCAGCGAUGCGUUGAGCUAACCGGUACUAAUGAACCGUGAGGCUUAACCUU